rnacentral:rRNA from 1 species
UGAGUACGAGAUGCUACGGCAUCGAAGCAGUCUAUGUCAUACUUCCAAGAAAAGCUUGCAAUGUCAUAAACAAAUAAUGCCUGUACCAUAACCGACACAGGUGGGUAGGUAGAGUAUACUAAGGGGCGCGAGAUAACUCUCUCUAAGGAACUCGGCAAAAUGACUCCGUAACUUCGGGAGAAGGAGUGCCUUAUUUUAUAAGGUUGCAAUAACAAGAUCCAAGCAACUGUUUACCAAAGACACAGGUCUCCGCUAAGUCGUAAGACGAUGUAUGGGGGCUGACGCCUGCCCAGUGCCAGAAGGUUAAAGAAGUUGGUUAGCAUUAGCGAAGCUGAUAACUGAAGCCCUGGUGAACGGCGGCCGUAACAAUAACGGUCAUAAGGUAGCGAAAUUCCUUGUCGGGUAAGUUCCGACCCGCACGAAAGGCGUAAUGAUUUGGAUACUGUCUCAGAGAGGGGCUCGGUGAAAUAGACUUGUCUGUGAAGAUGCGGACUACCUGCACCUGGACAGAAAGACCCUAUGAAGCUUUACUGUAACUUGAGAUUGAAAUUGGACUUUAUUUGCGCAGUAUAGGUGGGAGACGUUGAAAAUAUUCUUGCGGGAAUAUUGGAGUCAUCAGUGAGAUACCACUCUUAUAAUGUUAGAUUUCUAACUUUGUAUCAUUAUCUGGUCAAAGAACAGUUUCAGGCGGGCAGUUUGACUGGGGCGGUCGCCUCCCAAAGGGUAACGGAGGCGCACAAAGGUUUCCUCUGAACGUGUAGAAAUCGUAUCUAGAGUGUAAAGGCAUAAGGAAGCUUGACUGUGAGACCUACAAGUCGAGCAGGGACGAAAGUCGGUCUUAGUGAUCUGACGGUGCUGAGUGGAAAGGCCGUCACUCAACGGAUAAAAGUUACUCUAAGGAUAACAGGCUGAUCUCCCCCAAGAGUUCACAUCGACGGGGAGGUUUGGCACCUCGAUGUCGGCUCAUCGCAUCCUGGGGCGGUAGUACGUCCCAAGGGUUGGGCUGUUCGCCCAUGAAAGCGGUACGCGAGCUGGGUUCAGAACGUCGUGAGACAGUUCGGUCCAUAUCCGGUGUAGGCGUUAGAAUAUUGAGAGGAGCCUUCUUUAGUACGAGAGGACCGAGAAGGACAUACCUCUGGUGUACCAGUUAUCGUGCCAACGGUAAACGCUGGGUAGCUAUGUAUGGAGAGGAUAACCGCUGAAAGCAUCUAAGUGGGAAGCCCACCUCAAGAUAAG